rnacentral:rRNA from 1 species
UACGGAGGGAGCUAGCGUUGUUCGGAAUUACUGGGCGUAAAGCGCGCGUAGGCGGCUUUGUAAGUUAGAGGUGAAAGCCCGGGGCUCAACCCCGGAAUUGCCUUUAAGACUGCAUCGCUAGAAUCCGGGAGAGGUGAGUGGAAUUCCGAGUGUAGAGGUGAAAUUCGUAGAUAUUCGGAGGAACACCAGUGGCGAAGGCGGCUCACUGGCUCGGUACUGACGCUGAGGUGCGAAAGCGUGGGGAGCAAACAGG